GCUAAUGAGCGCAAAGAAGCCGCGGUAAAAAGAAUGUGGCGGCGUUUAACCGGAAUGAUUGGGCGUAAAGGGGACCUAGGCGGCCAAUCAAGUCAGGGGUGAAAACUUACGGCGCAACCGGGAGCCUGCCCUUGAAACUGAGGGGCUGGAGUGCCGGAGAGGUGGGCGGAACUACACGAGUAGAGGUGAAAUUCGUAGAUAUGUGUAGGAAUGCCGAUGAUGAAGAUAGCUCACUGGACGGCAACUGACGCUGAAGUGCGAAAGCUAGGGGAGCAAACAGGAUUAGAUACCCCAGUAGUC
rnacentral:rRNA from 1 species